CCCCCUUCACAGGGCGCGUGUCGCACGUAUGUUAUACGCACAGGUCUCCGAUAGCAACGAACGUGACCGUACUCUAUUGUUGCAGCGACAAUACCUUUCAACGGGUAUUACCGCUGCUUAGCAAGAUUCGUCUUGCAUUAAACUAUAGAGACCGCUGUUUCUUCUUUAAACCAGAGGAAGGAUACGGCAAUAACAGGUCUGUGAUGCCCUCAGAUGUUCCGGGCUGCACACGUGCUACAAUGAUCAUUGCACUGUGCAUCUAACCCAAUGUGCGCGGACGCCGCCGUGCGUAUAUACUUUAUUGUGUAUGCGUAUCGUGCGUGCGACCGCGCCGAACCUGCUUCGAAAGUAAACAUUUCCAGCGGGUAAUCCAUUAGAAGUAAUGACUCGCAUAGACCAUGGCACACUAUAUGUACCCGCGGGUUCUACCCGGCUCGCCUUUGUGUGAGUGCAGUGCGUAGCUCGUUGUUUGGUACGUGCCACUCCGUAUUAAUUCAUACGUGGGGAUAGAUCAUUGUUUAAUUGUUGGUCUCGGUCUUAACUAGGAAUGCCUUGUACGGGUCUUUGGUUCAACAUACCACCCGGAAUACGUCCCUGCCCUUUGUACACACCGCCCGUCGCUCUUACCGAUGGAUUAUACUAUGAAUCUAUAGGACUGCCAAAGUUGCUCUUCGCGGCGCGCUUAGUGGAAAUAUAUAUGAAUAGUG
rnacentral:rRNA from 1 species